rnacentral:rRNA from 1 species
AUUGAACGCUGGCGGCAUGCUUUACACAUGCAAGUCGAACGGCAGCGCGGGCUUCGGCCUGGCGGCGAGUGGCGAACGGGUGAGUAAUGCAUCGGAACGUGCCCAGUAGUGGGGGAUAGCCCGGCGAAAGCCGGAUUAAUACCGCAUACGACCUGAGGGUGAGAGCGGGGGACCGAAAGGCCUCGCGCUAUUGGAGCGGCCGAUGUCGGAUUAGCUAGUUGGUGGGGUAAAGGCUUACCAAGGCGACGAUCCGUAGCUGGUCUGAGAGGACGACCAGCCACACUGGGACUGAGACACGGCCCAGACUCCUACGGGAGGCAGCAGUGGGGAAUUUUGGACAAUGGGGGCAACCCUGAUCCAGCCAUGCCGCGUGCGGGAAGAAGGCCUUCGGGUUGUAAACCGCUUUUGUUCGGGAAGAAAUCCUCUGGGCUAAUACCCCGGGGGGAUGACGGUACCGGAAGAAUAAGCACCGGCUAACUACGUG